UCCGGAUUUACUGGGUGUAAAGGGCGCGUAGACGGGAUAGCAAGUCAGUCGUGAAAUACCGGGGCUCAACCUCGGGGCUGCGAUUGAAACUGUUAUUCUUGAGUAUCGGAGAGGAAAGCGGAAUUCCUAGUGUAGCGGUGAAAUGCGUAGAUAUUAGGAGGAACACCAGUGGCGAAGGCGACUUACUGGGCCGUAACUGACGCUGAGGCGCGAAAGCGUGGGGAGCGAACAGGAUUAGAUACCCUGGUAGUCCACGCUGUAAACGAUGAAUGCUAGGUGUAGGGGGUAUCGACCCCUCCUGUGCCGGAGUAAACGCAAUAAGCAUUCCGCCUGGGGAGUACGGCCGCAAGGUUGAAACUCAAAGGAAUUGACGGGGGCCCGCACAAGCAGCGGAGCAUGUUGUUUAAUUCGAUGCAACGCGAAGAACCUUACCAGGUCUUGACAUCGAUCUAAACUUUCAGAGAUGAAAGGUCCCUUCGGGGGAGAGAAGACAGGUGGUGCAUGGUUGUCGUCAGCUCGUGUCGUGAGAUGUUGGGUUAAGUCCCGCAACGAGCGCAACCCUUAUGAUCAGUUACUAACAGGUAGUGCUGAGGACUCUGAUAAGACUGCCGGGGAUAACUCGGAGGAAGGUGGGGACGACGUCAAAUCAUCAUGCCCCUUAUGACCUGGGCUACAAACGUGCUACAAUGGUGACUACAAAGAGGAGCGAGCCUGUGAGGGUAAGCGGAUCUCAAAAAAGUCAUCCCAGUUCGGAUUGUGGGCUGCAACCCGCCCACAUGAAGUUGGAGUUGCUAGUAAUCGCGGAUCAGAAUGCCGCGGUGAAUACGUUCCCGGGCCUUGCACACACCGCCCG
rnacentral:rRNA from 1 species